GAUUCCUUCUUCCCUUUGUGGUGUGGUGGGCUUGAAGACAACAUAUGGAAGGACUGACAUGAAAGGGUUGCUCUAUCAUAGUGGAACAGUGGCAAUUGUUGGACCUAUCACAGCAACUGUUGAGGAUGCCAUACUGGUGUAUGCUGCAAUUUUAGGAUCUUCGCCUGCUGAGAGAGUUUCUUUGAAACCGGCCCUCCCUUGUUUACCAAAUUUAAGUUCAUGUGAGAACUGGUGCUCUAUGGGAUCACUGCGCUUGGGGAAGUACACUGAGUGGUUCAAUGAUGUUUUCUCAACUGAAAUAUCUGAUAAGUGUGAGGAUAUUCUAAACCAGCUAUCAGAAAAACAUGAGUGCAAAACGAUAGAGAUUGUAAUACCAGAGUUGCAUGAG
rnacentral:misc_RNA from 1 species